rnacentral:rRNA from 1 species
AGUGAACGCUGGCGGUAGGCCUAACACAUGCAGGUCGAACGGCAGCACAGUAAGAGCUUGCUCUUACGGGUGGCGAGUGGCGGACGGGUGAGGAAUACAUCGGAAUCUACUUUUUCGUGGGGGAUAACGUAGGGAAACUUACGCUAAUACCGCAUACGACCUACGGGUGAAAGCAGGGGAUCUUCGGACCUUGCGCGAUUGAAUGAGCCGAUGUCGGAUUAGCUAGUUGGCGGGGUAAAGGCCCACCAAGGCGACGAUCCGUAGCUGGUCUGAGAGGAUGAUAAGCCACACUGGAACUGAGACACGGUCCAGACUCCUACGGGAGGCAGCAGUGGGGAAUAUUGGACAAUGGGCGCAAGCCUGAUCCAGCCAUACCGCGUGGGUGAAGAAGGCCUUCGGGUUGUAAAGCCCUUUUGUUGGGAAAGAAAAGCAGCAGGUUAAUACCCCGCUGUUCUGACGGUACCCAAAGAAUAAGCACCGGCUAACUUCGUG